GUCCUUCUGGACUGCCUCCGGUUUGGGGGACUUGACUGAAGAGGGCGGAGCCUCGGGGGCGGCCAUCUUGUACGCCAUGGACCCCUCUGUGAUCUGACGGGUAAACGUUAAUAAAGGCCUAAGUGGUGAACAGUAGCAGAAGGCGUACGAGUCGUCCAGCUGCAGCUGCUUCAGAGCGGCCGGCAGCUCGUCCUUCUGCUCGGGGGACAGAUCCUUCACAUCCAGGCCGUAGUGAUCCAGCAGCAGAGCCAGUCUCUGCAGGGAGCGCUCUGAAAGACACGGCUGCUUCAGGACUUUACUGGAUCUUUACUCUAGAUCCUGACAGGGCGUUGUACUCGUCCUUCGUCUUCUUGUCCGCCGCCUGCUGCUGCUGCUGCUGCUGCUGCUGCUGCUGCUGCUGCUCUCUGAGCUGGGCCACCUGGGAAACGUAGUCCUCGCCGUAGUCCAGCGGGAAGUCCAGGUCCGGAAAGAAUGAGGAGGACGAGGAGGAUGAUGAGGAGGGGAAUCCUGCAGCGGCUGCCCCUCUGUGGCGGGAGAGGGACUGCACAGGACUGAUUUCUUACUGUCUGGGCAACUUCUCGUUAACUUUGGAGGACGAGCCGGCGGUGGGAACACGACUCAGCUCUCGGCUGAUGAUCUCUUGAGUGACGUCGUCCCUCCAGGUCUUUGAGGACUUCCUGCAGUCUGUGCAGGACCUGGACAGACACCUGGUACCUGACGGGUUCCUGGUGAGGAGACUGGCACUGUCCGAACAGACCGUCUGCACAGGAAGGAGGAGGAAGAGGAGUCAGGACAGCACUGAAACCUCCUGUUCCCCGAAUGUUCCCGUCUCUGGAAACAGGGAACAAAACAUCCUCAAGGCGGAUUCACAAACACACACCCAUCAAUAAUACAGCUGCCUCUGAAGGCUGAGACAGAUCAGGUCGAACCUGAACACUCACCAUCGUUGCACAGCUGAUCUCUCGGGCAGAGCUUCUUUUCAAACAAACAACCUGCAGAGACGACAAAGAGAGAAACAUUAAUCCACAGGGAGAAAACUGAACACGUGAGCGUUUCUUUAUAUGUAACAAACACUUGUAGGUUUUGAGUCUGAAUUUGACAACUCAAGGUCUCGUUAUUUGACUUUUUGAACACUUAUGAAACUUUGACUUCAACCUGAUGCACAAAUUAAGAUAAUUAAAGGUAGAAGUGAUUCCGGGGAAACACCAUGAGAACAGAUGACACACGACACUGGACAUCAGUGUGUUGUUGCUUAGUGAUGAGAGUGUGUGUGUGUGUGUGUGUGUGUGUGUGUGCUACAGUUGACCUUUUCACAGGGUCUAAUCAGUUGCGAGGCAGUAAACAGCAGCAGAUGUGAAGCCCUCCGCUCGGCUCUGUUUGGUUUUCAUCAAGGAUUUAUAUAACGCUGCGUAUUAUUCAUGUUUCCUGUGAUAACGUGAGGAAACACACCUUCCUUCAUCUGAGCUGUUCAUCACUAAAAUGGGGCGUCGCUGAGUUCGAGCACAAGAAACUGCAAAAAUCUCCUUUUUAUUUGGGUCACUUUUUGAGAUAGUUUUGGAGGAAUAAAAACCCACACUGACGGGAGGAGAGCUCAAAUUACUUUUUAACUUUUAGGAUUAUAAGUGGAUUUAUCUUCACUCCUGUUUGUCAGUAAUCUGGAUGUUUGGGGAGAAUAAACACUCCUGAAAUCCUAAAAAGUAAUUGAUCAAAGUAAGUCAAAUGUUUUUCAGUGUUUUUGUGAUACCUAUUGAAUCUGUUUUCCAUCCAAAGGCAAAAAAAUAGAAGAUUAACUUCAGCUUUGAGGGCCAAAAUUGUAUAACUAUGAAGUGUCACAGUUGUAAAUCUGGUAUUUCAUGUCAGUCUUUGAUUAAUAGAAGAAUUAACUCUAAAUUCGGUCGACAGUGUUGCAGAAAAAAACUCAAUCUGAAGACAAAAAUAACUCCAGCUGUCUGUAAACCAAAACAUCCUUCAGCUAAAUCUCCGUUUCUGUUGCUGUUUUCUCUGACACAGUCGGCUCGAAGCCUCUGGACGACUCGACUCGUGUUGUUUUUCUUUUACCUGAAAUCUAUAAAACCGUCGGACAGAUUAUCGACCGCAUGACGACACAAACAAAGUGCCCUCGCGGCGGCUAUCUGAGGGGGAAUCUCCAUUAAACGAGCGAGCGGCUAAACAUAGAAGCAGAGAGAUCCUCCAUCCGUCCAUCCGUCGCCUCCUCCGUCCAAACUCCACAUGAUGACUAAUCUGUCCUCCGCCCACACGGCCCUCCUCCCUCCUCUGUUAUCUCCUCUCUCCACUGUCUGUUUCCACAAGAUCUCAUCUUCCUGCAGACUGUCCAUCACUGUCACCGCCACACGGCAUUCAAUCACCUCUGCUAACACACACGUCACCGAUUCAUUACCAGACAUUUCACUGUAAUUGAGUUUCUAAUGAGCAGACGGACAGUUUGUUUAAGAAGAUCCUGCCAGAACCCUGAACAACAUUUACAAGGUCGUCGCACGUUUGUAGCCUGAGAUCAACAUUUCCAUACAAAAGUUUCAGGCCUGUUUUCAUCUUAAAGAUCUUUGUGCAGGAGUGAAACAGGAAGUGGUCGCGAGAUUGAGUCGCUCGGUCAGCCGAGGAUGAAACACAAAAACAAUUACAGCAGAUCAGGUCUUUAAAGCCUCUCUGUGGUAAUGAUGUAAUGAACUGAAACACAGAAAACAAAAUGGAGCCGGCGCUGCGUGUAACCACAGAGGAAACUUGAGAUGUGAUGGAGGGUGGAGAGCCAGACGGAGGCUCUCCACACCACCUACUCUCUCCUUCAUUAGUUUGAGUUGGAGAGGGAAGUUUGAGAGUGAAACACUGGAGGAGUUUCCCCUGAGAAACAUAAAGAGCUGCUGCUGCUGCUGGAAACACCACAGAAGAAGAAAAGAGUCACUUUUGUCUUUAAAUGAGACUUUAAAGUCUUAUAAUCUUUAAAAAAGACACAAUUCAGCCAGUGUAGGAGUAAUAAUGGGCUUGUUUUUAAGAAAUCAAACAGCGACCUUUAAUUUUUCUUCCUUGUUUCAAGACAAUAAUUAAAAAAUAAUCAAAGAUUUAUCACUUGUUUUCAGUGAAUUGAAGAUGAUUUGUAGCAGGAGUCAGAGCUGCAUCGCUUUCAUGACUGAAAGAAAAGUUUAAACAUUUAAAUUAAGAGCUGACUGAACAAAAAAUUAAUCAAAUAAACAUAAUUUGGAGAGAAUCACUUCCUGUUUGCUGCAGCUGCUGACGUCUAGAGGCAUAAAAACAAGCAGCAGUCCCGCUCUGAUAUUUGUUAUGUGAACCAAAUCAGGCUGACUCAUCACCAGCUCUGAAACUGAACUCCAUCGUCAUCAUCAUCAGAGCCUCCGCGUCUCGCUUUUAUCAUCCAUUAACUGCCCGCCAGAUUGAAUCCAGUGUCAUUUUCAUAAUGGUGCUGCUGGCAUUUGUGCCGGCUGCAGCUGCUGAGUGUGAGCUCGUCCUCCGGCCUGCAGGCUGACGGAGGAUGUCUGAGGUGGAGUGAGUCAGCCGGGCUGAGUGGCAGCGGAGGCAGCGAGGUUACAGCCUUCCUCAGCUCGGUUCACCUUUAAACCUUUAACUUUACACCGACUCACACUUACCUCUCUGACUGGAGCUCACUGUGGGCUACAUGCAGGAAGAGACGUCUGCUGGUAUUUCUACUUCCUGCUCAUCAAGAGCUCUGACUCGGCCUCCACUGACCACAAAACCAUCAGUGAAGGUUAAUAAGGUCUGUGGUUAAACACAGGCUUAAAAUAUUUACACAUGUUGUUCUGUGACAUAAAAUACACCAGUUAAAACCUCAAGUUUCAAUCAUAAAGAUCUUAUGUGUCUUUAAAAACAUUGUCUGCUAACAAGUGGCUGCACGGUUACAGAGCUUGUUGUGGUUGUUGCUGUCAGACGGACUCUUCAAAGCAACCAGACUCCACUGACAAAAACAGUCAUUUUACCUCACAGUUGCUGGUUGUGUGCUGCCAUGAUCGCUUUGAUAAUUUGCGUUAGCUUGUGACUUUGGUGUUUACAGACACAUGUUCAGACACAGAAGUCACACAAUAAACUGAAAGUACUAUCUGAUCAAGGUAACAGAAGACCAGCAACUCCUGUACACUGUGGAGGCAAAAUUACUGCUUUUCUUAAUGGAAUCUGGUGUUUGAGAAGAGUGCAUAUUUAGAAUAACUUAACUGCUUUAUUUAUCCGUCAGCAGCCCUUUCAGAUGUGGAACUAAACCUGUUAAAUUGCUUUCUUCAAAACAACCAGACUCCCUUUACAAAAAUAGUGAUUUUACCUGGCAGGUGUUACGCUGCCUCGAUCGGUCAAUUUGUUUGAGUGAUUCUGUAGCUGUGACGUUUGAACAGGUUAGUUCAGAAAUCAAAGUCACACAAUAACACAAACAAACUAACUGAUCACGGUGGCAGUAGACCAGAACCUCUUAUAUAUUCUGCAAGGUAAAAUCACUGUUUUUCUCAAUGGAGUCUGGUGUGUGCGAAGAGAGGAUAAAUGGAUACAGUUCCUCUCAGAAAAUGGGAAGGUAAAGCAGUGAAUAUACUUUAAAUAAUGCAUGAACUUGAACUUAAUCACCUAUUCAGUUGAUGAAUUGAUGAUGUGUUACAUCAGUAGAUAUAUGACUCUGGCACCAGGAACCUUUAAAUAUCUGUACAACAAACACAGCAGCACACUGAACGUCCACACAGAGCAUCAAAAUACCAUUUUAAGCCGUCUACAAAGUCACUGUUGAACCAAUAAUAUCCUGCAGGAGUCCCUUAGGAGUCUCUAUGAAUGAUGUUUUCCUUUGUUUCUUGGUCCUAACGAUGUUGAGAGAAGAGAAAUCUGAAACAGGAUUUAAUUUCCUCUGCUGUUCGCUGUCCAUGGUGCUGAAACACUCGAGACAGGAAGCCAGAGAUCAGCUCUGACUCAUAACUGUGCGUACGACUCGCUACAUCGCACUGUUAUCUUACUACAGGGAUAAAUAAUUAAAGGUGAGGUCAUGAUUGAUUGUCUGUAGCUCUGUUAUGGGCUAUUAUAUCUAUCAGUUCAUUAAAACAUUUAUAUUAAAGCUCGCUACAGUGAUUGUAUUCAUGCAAACCACAUCAGUGAGGUCCAGUCAACAAACAAGUAAGCUGAGAAAACCACACCACACUAAUACAAAGUCUCCUGUAGUCCCAAAUAUCCACCAAAACUCAGUAUUCAGUCAUUACAUGGAGACAAAACUGCAAAAGAAACCGUGAUUGUUGAUGCUUUUUCAUGUUUUUAUCUGGAAAUGUUUGUAGUUGUAUGUGUUUUGCUCUUUGAAUAGUCUGUUUUUCCACCUCAGAUCUUGUUUUUGACUGUUCUACAUGCACAAAGUUAGUGUAUAAGUAAGGAAAUAAAGGACAGUAAUGAGUGUUUUCUCCUGUUAAUCCCAGACAGUGUGUAUGAAGUGGACCUGGUGUGUUUUGCAGGGCAGCUGCAGCUCAUCUGCUGGGUUAGUUUUCCAUUUUGAAAACCAUGAACGGAACCAUUGGAUUUUUUGGGAAACAUCUAUCAGCAUUUUCCACCAUUUUAUAUUCUAUCAAACAACUAGUUGAUCAACCAAGAAAACAGCAGACCGCUUGACACUGAGAAUAAUUGUAAAUCUGCAUCAUUCAGUCGUUUCUGUAUCGGGUCAUGUUGGCUCCUGACCACAACAAACCAAACCCUCCUCUCUCUGCAGGGCUUCUCUCCUGCUGUUUGUUGUUGUGUUGCAGGCUGAACGACAGAAUGAUUCACUCGGGCAGACAGACACAUCCGAGCUGACCCGCGGUCAGUGCGAUUACAUCAGUGACGCAAUUUAUCCCCAUGUAAACAGAUCAGGGGAGGCAGGAAACACACAGUGAAGUGAGGCAGGUGGAUCUGAUGCACCAGAGGGAAAAAUGUGCAAUAAUAGUUAAAACUCACUAUCGGAUUAUUAUCGGAAUAUAACAUCCAAACUGUUUCUUCUUUCAUUUGAAGGAUAAAAAGAGAGUUUAAAGCAACUUUAAAGCAGUGAUUUUACGCAAAUCUUGGGGUUUUUUUGGAGAGAAAAAAAAACCGAACCUCAUAAGAAAAACUGCAGAUUUUAGAAUCUACUCAAACAAACAGAAACAUAAAGUUCUGUAAGCUCGUUCUAAACUCGCUGCUCGGCCCAACAGUUACUAUAGGAACCGGUUACAGCCGCUCGUCACCGGGGAAGUCGUGAUUUACGCGCCGCCCGCCUGGACGCAGCGAGUUCAUUACGACGGGAGCGCAUCCGUCUCCAUCAGAGCCGGAUCGAACCUGAUCCGUCUCCAUCAGAGCCGGACCGAACCUGAUCCGUCCUCUUACCGUGUCGGGCGGCCGCGCAGAGCCGGCAGGAGGCGGUGAGGAGGAGGCACAGAGCUGCCAGGAGCCGCGGAGACCUCAUGGUACAUCCAACACCCACCGGAGCGGAGCGCAGCGAGGGAGGAGGAGGAGGUGGAGGAGGAAGAGGAGGAGGAGGUGGAGGAGGGCAGAGCGGCCGCUGCUGCUGAGCUUCUACCAGCUCUCCAUGUCUGAGGAGAGGCUGCUGCUGCUGCUGCUGCUGCUGCUGCUGAUCGGGACUGAUGGAGAGGAAGUGAGAGAGAGAGAGAGGAGGAGGAGGAGGAGGAGGAACCGCAGGAGGCGCCACACUGCAAGAAAUAUCAGAAGAAAAGCUGCUCGGUACUCCAUCACAGUGGUGGAAGAAGGAAACAGAUCAGAUAUCUUCGCUAAACUCUAAAAAGUACAAAUCAAACGGUCAUACCUGAGUAAAAGUAAA